rnacentral:rRNA from 1 species
AACGAACGCUGGCGGCAGGCCUAACACAUGCAAGUCGAACGCCGUAGCAAUACGGAGUGGCAGACGGGUGAGUAACGCGUGGGAACAUGCCCUUCGGUUCGGAAUAACUCAGGGAAACUUGAGCUAAUACCGGAUACGUCCAAGGCUUGCCUUGGAGAAAGAUUUAUCGCCGGAGGAUUGGCCCGCGUCUGGUUAGCUAGUUGGUGGGUAAUGGCUCACAAGGGCGACGAUCAGUAGCUGGUCUGAGAGGAUGAUCAGCCACAUUGGGACUGAGACACGGCCCAAACUCCUACGGGAGGCAGCAGUGGGGAAUAUUGGACAAUGGGCGCAAGCCUGAUCCAGCCAUGCCGCGUGAGUGAUGAAGGCCCUAGGGUUGUAAAGCUCUUUUGCCCGGGAAGAUAAUGACGGUACCGGGAGAAUAAGCCCCGGCUAACUUCGUGCCAGCCGCCGCCGUAAGAC